UGGGGGAUAUUGCACAAUGGGCGAAAGCCUGAUGCAGCGACGCCGCGUGGGGGAUGAAGGCCUUCGGGUUGUAAACUUCUUUUGCUCUGAACAAGGCGCACCAUGGGGUGUGUUGAGUGUAGGGGUUGAUUAGCGCCGGCUAACUACGUGCCAGCAGCCGCGGUAAUACGUAGGGCGCGAGCGUUGUCCGGAAUUAUUGGGCGUAAAGGGCUUGUAGGUGGCUGGUUGCGUCUGUCGUGAAAGCUCAUGGCUUAACUGUGGGUUUGCGGUGGGGACGGGCUAGUUUGAGUGGAGUAGGGGAGGCUGGAAUUCCCGGUGUAGCGGUGGAAUGCGCAGAUAUCAGGAAGAAUACCGGUGGCGAAGGAGGGUCUCUGGGCUGUUACUGACACUGAGGAGCGAAAGCAUGGGGAGCGAACAGG
rnacentral:rRNA from 1 species